rnacentral:rRNA from 1 species
CGUGUAGGCGGUCUGCUGAGUCUGAUGUGAAAGCCCGGGGCUCACCCCCGGAAGUGCAUUGGAAACUGACAGACUGGAGUCCCGGAGAGGAGGGUGGAAUUCCUGGUGUAGCGGUGAAAUGCGUAGAUAUCAGGAGGAACACCGGUGGCGAAGGCGGCCCUCUGGACGGUGACUGACGCUGAGACGCGAAAGCGUGGGAGCAAACA